rnacentral:rRNA from 1 species
AUUGAACGCUGGCGGCAUGCCUUACACAUGCAAGUCGAACGGUAACAGGUCUUCGGAUGCUGACGAGUGGCGAACGGGUGAGUAAUGCAUCGGAACGUGCCCAGUAGUGGGGGAUAGCCCGGCGAAAGCCGGAUUAAUACCGCAUACGACCUGAGGGGGAAAGGGGGGGAUCGCAAGACCUCUCGCUAUUGGAGCGGCCGAUGUCAGAUUAGCUAGUUGGUGGGGUAAAGGCCGACCAAGGCAACGAUCUGUAGUUGGUCUGAGAGGACGACCAGCCACACUGGGACUGAGACACGGCCCAGACUCCUACGGGAGGCAGCAGUGGGGAAUUUUGGACAAUGGGCGCGAGCCUGAUCCAGCAAUGCCGCGUGCAGGAAGAAGGCCUUCGGGUUGUAAACUGCUUUUGUCAGGGAAGAAAUCUUCUGGGUUAAUACCUCGGGAGGAUGACGGUACCUGAAGAAUAAGCACCGGCUAACUACGUGCCAGCCGCCGCAGUAAUAC